AAAAAGACAAACCCUGGUUUCCGUGCCCAACAUUUGACUGUCCGUCUUAUUUGAAAAAAUUAUGAAAAAAAUUAAAAAGACAAGUCACGCAUAAAAUAUUAAUUAUAUUUUAUUAUGUAACAACAAUAAAAAUACGAAUUAUAAAAAAAUUUCAUAUAAGACGGACAGUCAAAGUUGGACACGGAAACUCAGGGUUUGUCUUUUU
rnacentral:pre_miRNA from 1 species